rnacentral:rRNA from 1 species
UACGAAGGGGGGCUAGCGUUGUUCGGAAUCACUGGGCGUAAAGGGCGCGUAGGCGGCUUUAUAAGUCGGGGGGUGAAAGCCUGUGGCUCAACCACAGAAUUGCCUUCGAUACUGUAGAGCUUGAGACCGGAAGAGGUAAGUGGAACUGCGAGUGUAGAGGUGAAAUUCGUAGAUAUUCGCAAGAACACCAGUGGCGAAGGCGGCUUACUGGGCCGAUACUGACGCUGAGGAGCGAAAGCGUGGGGAGCGAACAGG